UGGAAGGAUCUGUGAACCAUAGAGAAAGAGACGAUAUAUAUUGGCUGGAUUUACCGUGUAUGAGCUGGACUGUUUGGACUUACCUGUUGGCAUUUGGACCUGGACCUACCAAGAACCCAAUUCCUGUACCGAACCCUGCUAUCUUUGACCUUGCCUGCGGCCUGGGUGGACCAGGAUAUAGAAACAAACACACAGAAUGUCACUAAAAGGACUUACAAACAAAGCAAGAAGAUGGCCUCAUCAGCAGAGGAUGAUCCCAUUAACCCUUAAGCAAGAGGUACAGGAACCAACUGGUUGCUGUAGAUUAUUAUAUACCUGCCAUAGAUGGUGGUUUGUUAUCCAUGGUGCUGUGGAUGCUUACAGCAGGCUUGUGUUUCUAAAGGCCCCUGGCAACAGGAGUGCCACAGUCAUGGAGUCAUUUGAAGCAGCCAUCACCAGCUAUGGAGUACUAUCCCGGGUGAGAUGUCAAACAAACCACCCGGGGUGGUGCAAACAACCACAUCUGUGCCUUCAUGGAGCAGUUCAGGGAUGGUGAGAGGGGAAGUGCCCUCAGGAAGGAGCACUCGCAACCAGAGGAUAGAGCUGCUGUGGGGGGACGUCUGGCAUGGAGUCUCCAACGUUUACAAUUCUUGGAGUUCACCUUCUUGGAGACGGAGCAGAUCAUCGACAUCAACAAUGAGGUGCACCUGUGGGCACUGCACUUUGUAUUCCUGUCACAGGCGUAAAGAGAUCUGCCGUGCCAGUCAGUGGAACCACCAUGGGCUGAGGACUGAACAACGGCAGUCAGCUCUGCAGUUGUUCAUAUCGGGUUCCCUGGCAAUUUUGAGCGCCUAUCUGACCCUCG
ensembl:lncRNA